AGUGAACGCUGGCGGUAGGCCUAACACAUGCAAGUCGAACGGCAGCACAGUAAGAGCUUGCUCUUACGGGUGGCGAGUGGCGGACGGGUGAGGAAUACAUCGGAAUCUACUUUUUCGUGGGGAUAACGUAGGGAAACUUACGCUAAUACCGCAUACGACCUACGGGUGAAAGCAGGGGAUCUUCGGACCUUGCGCGAUUGAAUGAGCCGAUGUCGGAUUAGCUAGUUGGCGGGGUAAAGGCCCACCAAGGCGACGAUCCGUAGCUGGUCUGAGAGGAUGAUCAGCCACACUGGAACUGAGACACGGUCCAGACUCCUACGGGAGGCAGCAGUGGGGAAUAUUGGACAAUGGGCGAAAGCCUGAUCCAGCCAUCCCGCGUGUGUGAAGAAGGUCUUCGGUUUGUAAAGCUCUUUUUUGGGGAAAGAAGAGCAGUAGGUUAAUACCCGGCUGUUUUGACGGUACCAAAAGAAUAAGCACCGGCUAACUUCGUG
rnacentral:rRNA from 1 species